CGAGGUUUAAUACAAAAAGUGAAGCUGUUCGAUUACCCACUAACUAAGCUUCUACCAACAAGACUGGGAUUUACUACUACCAUACUUCUCGAUCUCUCGGGGGUGAGCCGUCACCCUACAUCCAGUCUUGACGGAAAACCCGUCAUCACUUGGAAGGAGAUAGCGAGAGUCCUAUUCCUCCUUUACUGCGACCAACUGUACACGAACUGACCUUCCUCCAUUUAGGGACCUGAAAAAUGUUAGCCCACUAAGGGGUGAGAUCACAUCUCAGUGAGUAAAUCCCCUAAAUCCAUAUUAGGAGAAGGGUACACUCAACAUGCAAUCUAAUCGCCUUUCUCACACUUUCUUAAUACCUGUACUUUCCUGCAUGUUAGUGUCAAUUAAAUCAUGCAUAAGAUAUCGAGAUCAUAUAUCAUCAGAAUACUUUUAACACAUACAUAUGUAAGGACAUAAAUGUCACAUACUUACCCGGGCCCCCAAUUACCAAACUAAACCGUUAUAGCAUGUCCCAUACCGCACCACACAGUUCCGUCUUUUAAUUAGGUCCCUCACUUUCACCCAUUCAUGCGUCACAAAUGAUUUCAAUGCUCAAAUAACAGUCUUCCGGCAUAACCGAGCAUUUCAUGUGUCACAAAUUAUUUCAAUGUUCAGAUAACAGUCUUCCGGCAUAACCGGGCAUUUCAUGUGUUACAAAUGAUUUCAAUGCUCAGAUGACAGUCUUCCGGCGUAACCGAGCUUUUCAUGUGUCACAAAUGAUUUCAAUGCUCAGAUGACAGUCUUCUGGUGUAACCAAGCAUCACCUCGCAUUGUCGAGCGCCGCGUCGUCUACAUCUAAACGGCAUUCCAUAUAGGAGCAUCGGUCCAGCCUCCACUGCGAUCGGCAUCCGUUGACGUGGGGCAUUCCCGAAGGAGCAUCGCCCGGCCCCAAAGGCUCGUGGUGGAAUCUCAUGUCAUGAAUGCAUAUGAUCAAUGUCACACUUCAAUAAUCAGUUACACAUAGCAUUCACAGUCUCAAUUAAGCAAUUUCAUAGCAAAAACACUUCAAAACAAACAUACACUAUUACUAACCAAAAUUCACAGAAAACAGUCCAAUUACGCUCUCUCAAAUUCGAAGUUAGAAACUCACUCGUAUGAGCUCAAAAAAUUCUCAAAUUUGGACACAUGCUUGAAAACACAAAAAAAAAAAAAAAAAAAAACAUUUUUCAUGAAGACUCCGAGAUCCAGAUCCCUCUGGAUUCGGCCCAGAAAUUCUUUCUAUCCAGCACAAAAAUCGGAUCCAGUUCCAGAGAGCCUAACUCAUCGAAAUCAGUUCGUUUUUGGGUCGAAAUAUAGUCUGUUUGAUUUGAAAUUCAAGUAUGUUAAACUAAAAGUUAUAAUGAACAACUUUCAUGCAGAAAUAGAUUAGAAAUUCGACCUCUAAAGGUCAGUAACAGCCCUCGGAAUCAUAACAGGUCACGGUUUACAGAACUGUCCGAAUUACUGUUUCAAGGAUGACGUCAUGAAAAUCGUCAUCUUUUUAAAUUCUAAAAAUUCUGAGAAAAAUAUAUGUUAUUAUUUAGGAUGCCUAAAACAUUUCUUCAGAAUAAAAUUCCUUCAAAAUUGCAACACACAGUUGUCUACGAAAUUAGCAAAACACACACAUCCUGGAAACUGUUUCAGAAAUCAGCUAUUGUUCUAGUCCGAAUCUUCCUCUACAACGUUUUUCUUGCUCUCUAAACCCUAUCUAGGCUUUUCUAUGUCUAUCCUAACAUCCCUAACCAACAUCCAUCCAUAUAUAACGUCAUCUACAUCUUUCUAACUUGUGCGAAUUCCUAAUAGAGGUACUCAACCCCUAGUCUAGACUUAGAAGACAACUCACCACCAAAACUAAUGGCGAUCCUCACUUGUGGCCGAACGGCAACACAAUGACAGCCCUGGAAGUUUUUGACGAUGAUUUGGACCCGGCACAACGGCUAGAGGUAUCGUUGAGCGACCACUAUAGCAGCACACAAAGUCCCGGAUUUUCUUGAGGAGGGAGGAACGCUCGAGACCUUGUUGUUCGGUCGUUGCUUUGUCGUCCAAGGGGGAGCAAGAAUGGCCGAAUAAACUAACCCAAAUAAGAAGAAGACAAAGACUUUUUUAUGGCUGUGAAAGGGAAAGGAAAUUGUCGUAAGGCUGGAUAAGGGAAAGGGAGAGACAGGUGCACGACAGUAGGGGAGAAGAAAUAAGUGCGGAAGAAAAAGAAAAGAGGGGUAAAACAGAAGACUAAGACCCUUCGGCUAAGAGAAAAGAAAGGAAAGAAAAAUAAAGAACAAGAAAGAAAAGGGAAAAAGUAAAAAGGAAAGUAGCCCAUUUGCUGCUGCACUUCGGUUUCCUACGGCAAGAAGAGAGGAGGAAGGUGGGGAGUAAAUGCCUGGAAGUUACUCAGCAUUUACUCNNNNNNNNNNNNNNNNNNNNNNNNNNNNNNNNNNNNNNNNNNNNNNNNNNNNNNNNNNNNNNNNNNNNNNNNNNNNNNNNNNNNNNNNNNNNNNNNNNNNCCUUCUGCUUUUGGCCCCAAAUUCCAUGGAAAAUUGGCUCUCCAUUACUACUUUAGGUCCCACUCUUUUCCAAGUCCAUCUCCAUUAAGGUGAAAUUGUAGGAGAGAGGGAUUCCUACGAAUUUCCUUUUGAGGAGACUUCUCUUCUUUCUUUAAUUACCAAUCUAACAUCUAAUUCAAUAGGGUCAAGUCCCUUAGUAACAACUUAUAAUACCUCUUAAAUUGCUUUACAUUAGAGGCCUUAAAAUCCUACUUAAAAUGUGGCAAUUCCCCUGCUCUUUUAAUUUGCUGAUAUUGCACAUUUCGUGAACAAUUCCCAUCAUCAAUAAAUUUUGAGAAGAUGCAACAAUGUCCUUGGGAUGAAUUGUGACACGUGACAAUUCUUAAUUUCUGUAAUCGACAUCAUUUCCUCGGUUAAUUUCAGUCAAAUGUGAUUUUAGCGCAACCUAAAUUAUCAGUUAGUUUUUAGGAAUUCGCAAUGCAACUGACCCGUGGUCGAUUAUUCCCGAGCCACAAUGUACAUCUUCGAUGCAUUGACGACUCUCGAUUGUCGUGAAAAAUUUCGAGAUUUCAAUUACAAGCACAGGGUACCAAAACAACAGAAAAUUCGGUUUAGUGCCGAUCGACGAGAAAUUUGUAAUUAGUUGGAAUCACCCAAGCCUAAUUUUAUCUCUAUUGAAUCGAUCUAUUUCCGAUUUCUGAUAGAUUUUCGACUGUGCCGAACUGAUCCUUGUAGACUAACACGGUCGAGCAGUCAAUUCCUAGUCGAAUUCUCAAGUCUGUUGCAUCAAAAUCCUUUAAUAACUUUCCCGAUUAAUCAAGUUAUCUCAUGAGUGAUCAGCUCAGAGAAUAGCGCUAUAAGCACGCCAACGAAAUGCCCGAUUUAUUUAAUUGAAAACGGAAGCGGAAAAUCAAAUUGUCAUAGCAUUGGUGUUCGUUAUCUCCUGCAACGUUGUGGUCGAGAGUUCGAAUCAUUGUGUUGCUAUCGCGAUUGAAGUGGGGGGGCCCUGGCGGUGGGAUGUAGGGCUAGUCUCCCUCGAGAUUUACGUUUAAAUAGUGGCUUGCGAUGACAUCCAUUGAUGCUGAAAGGGCUAGUAACAACACCUAGAGGGGGGUGAAUAAGCGUGAACAAAAAAUUUCGCAAGGCUCAAUGGAAAUAAUUUACUUUUAGAAAAUUCCUUAUCCCUCACUGUGCAAGAGAAAUUGUUUGCAUCUAAGAAAGAUAAGUUCAAGUAAAAGUAAGCGUUGAGUUCUAGAUAAGCAGCAAUAGAUUCAGAACAAAAGCGCUCCAAUUGCAGUAGAGCAAACUUCUCUCAUAGAUUUACUUUCACCGAAUCAAGGAAAUCAAAAUCGACCCUCCUAGGGUUCAUAACCCCUCUCUUCAUUAGAUUCAAAUAGACCCUCUUGUGGUCCGUUGACCUGAAAAGGCUUGAACCAUCACCAGCAACGUUUGCAGCCACUCCCGUUCUAGGCUGAAAAUGGGUAAACAUAUGUUCACCAUCGUCCUAUCCUUGUGGUUGAUUAGCAGUAUCAAAACGCGGGUCACUAGGAAAAUUAGCGAAGGCUUUUUUAGCCGAUCCCUUUUCUGCAAUACCCAUCUUCUCCAUAUCACGCAGAAAAAGAGUUUCAUUCUUAUAGCCUCUCUCUCUUACGUAUUCAUCGAUCAAGGACAUAGCAGUUCCUCCUCUUUUCAAACUAGAAUAAAGCUUGAAAGCAACCUUAGGAGUUAACGUUCUUACAGGUUCAACUUCUUCCAAAAUUUCUUCUUCUGGAUGAGUCAGUGGAGAAGAUUGAUGCUGCUGAGAAGGUUGUUGCUAACUUGGUCACUGUGGUAGAGAAGAAUCUUCUUCUUCAGUCAAGUCGAAAUGCGUAGGACCCUCAAGCAUGUGUCGUGGUCCCCUGUUUGCUAUUCUCGAAGACUUUCUUGACAUUGUCGCUUCAAGGGAGAAAUUCACAAACAUGCUCGAGAGGUGAAAACUUUUUGGAUUAAACAACAGUGAAAGUGAGAGCAAGUGAGAGUUUAGUAUGCUAGGGUUUGAGAGUGAAAAUGAAGAAGACGGAUUUCAACAGUAUAUAAAGCAAGUGAGGUGAGGUAAAUGAAUCGUCAUAAAAGGAAAAAUAAAAAUACAUUUUUGAAAAUGAAUAACUGCAUUUUUCAAAAUUGAUAACUGCCUUUUUGAAAAUGAAUAAUUGCUACAAUUUAAAAAAAAAACUUGGAAAGAUAAUUUCAAUCAAUUAUCGAUUAAUAAGUAACCAUACCUUUUCAAAUCUUUAACCAAGAAUUAAAUUACUAAACCGAAAUAACUUACAGUCGUAACUCUUGGUCUUCUAAGUCUGAGCACCUUCAGACUUUACUGAAUAAAAGAUAUGAUGUUCAGUCUGGUGCGAAAAGACUCAAAUAGGCUUUUAUCCAGUAGCUUUGUAAAUAUGUUCGCCAGUUGAUUCUUUAAAUCAAUGAAUUGAAUCAUCACUUCUCCAUUUUGAACAUGAUCUCUAAUAAAGUGAUGUCUAAUCUCUAUGUGCUUCGCUCUUAACUGAAGGAUUGGGUUCUUUGUGAGAUUAAUUGUACUGGUAUUGUCACAUUUGAUCUCAAUGCAUGAAUCUUCGAUUCCAAAGUCUCUCGGUUGCUGUUUUAUCCAUAAGAUUUGAGAAUAGCAACUUCCAAGAGCCACAUACUCUGCUUCUACUAUUGAAAGAGCUAUAAUACUUUGCUUUCUUGAGAACUAUGAUACUGUCAUGUUUCCAACAAUGANNNNNNNNNNNNNNNNNNNNNNNNNNNNNNNNNNNNNNNNNNNNNNNNNNNNNNNNNNNNNNNNNNNNNNNNNNNNNNNNNNNNNNNNNNNNNNNNNNNNCUGUCGUACCAAGCUCGAGGUGCUUGCUUUAAACCAUAUAGAACCUUUUUCAUUCUAAAUACUGAAUCUGGUCUCUUUGGAUCUUCAAAUCCUGGAGGUUGUUCCACAUAAACUUCUUCUUGAAUGAAUCCAUUUAGAAAUGCACUUUUGGUGUCCAUUUGGAAUAACCUGAAAUUUUUCUAACAAGUAAAAGCAAGUAAUAAUCUAAUUGCUUCUAACAUUGCUACUGGUGCAUAGGUCUCAUCAUAGUCUAUCCCUUCUUCUUGCAUAUAUCCUUUGGCCAUGAGUCUUGCUUUGUUCCUAACCACUUUUCCUUUUUUUGUCAAUGUUGGGAAUAACGGAUCUCCGAAAACUGGAUUCGACACUAAAUCGAACCCCUAAAUCAAUGCGAAAGGCGAGCCCGAGAAAAAACAACACGUAUCACCAAUCCUAAAGCACACCACGGAUUCGAGCGUACCUUUUAGCCACAGAUUAGACACCAAUGCCAAUGGAGGAAGAGAAAGUAUGCCCUGUUCAAUCUGAGGAAGCAAAAUCCUUCGAGCGCUUCACUAUUUUUGCUUUGAAGAAAAUGAGAGAGAGAGAGAGAGAGAGAGAGAGAGAGAGAGAGAGAGAGAGAGAGAGUGCGUAGAGAGAAAACGUACGUCUUUUUCUUUAAACAAAACGGUGCAUUUUUCUCUCUCUCUCUCUCCUCCCUUUUAUACCUCUCUCCUUCCACGAGCCCUAUUCCGGUGGGCCGGGCUUUCUGGGCCCAACUUGGGCGGACGGGCCUUAAGCCCAAUACUAAUAAAGCCUUCAUCUCCCACUCGCACAUGGUAGGCCGAACAGGAUUCUCUUUACCUAUUUUCAACAUUCAUACCGGUGAAUAAUCCGUGCGACCAGCAUACUUUGAGAGCUCGUUGCUAUACAUCUGUUAGGAAUAUAUAGCAGCUCAUAAUGGGCGUCACACUCUGAGUAGAUUUAGUAUGCAGUACCCUAGAUCGAUCGAUCACAUUUAUAUCUCUCUUGAUCUCUUUUAAAAACAAUGAUAUAUAUAUAUAUAUAUAUAUAUAUAUAUAUUGCAUUCACAAUUAUAAUUAUCACAAAGACAGUCAUAAUUGGUCGACCAGUGAACACAAAACCACAAUGUGAUUCUCCAAAAUCGAUCUUCCUCUUUCCUUCAAACUCUCAAUUUCAGUUCAGCUUGCUUUUCUAGAAAUGUCCCAUUAGAUCGAAUCAACUCAUGACCAUUGGCAACAUCCUAAGAUAGCAAACACUAAAUAGAAACCUUGAGAAUAAGUAAGAGUCAUGAGGGGACUUAAAUUGAGGAACUCUUUUCCUCAAGAGUCUCACACGUCAUAAAAGCUGAGAUCAAACUUUUUGCCACUCUAUUGGGUCGUCUCAUGCAUACAUAGUAUGAAAUACGUGUUACGGUAUUAACUCCUUUCCAUGGAGCGUAUGUCUACACUUUUCAAUACCGUAUAGAUGAUAGUUCAGACAUAUCCAAUGUCUAACUUGAGUUCACGUAUCUACUCAUUCACUAAAUUCAUCAAAACUCACAUCUGGCAUCUUAGACAGAUAAAGUAAAAUAUGUGGGAUAUUUUACUUUCGGACAUCACAAGUAUUAUGUCCUCAUCUUAACACUUAGUUAAGGCGACAUGCGUAUUUUAAGCUUGAGCUCUCGAUUAUCACCUAGAUAAUAAGCUUAAAAACAGUCUCAUCUCUAUUUAUCACACAGUAAAUAGAGGCGAUUACCCGUGUGAGUGGGCUAAUCUUUUAUCUGUCCGACAUACUUCCUCAACUUAUAAUAAUACACUGAGUAUUAAGAUGCAUAAAGAUCAAACAAAAAAUUCAUAGGCAUUAAUCAAUGAAAAACAAAAUUUCAUAAAUGUGAACAACUCAGGGAAAUUACAAUCCAGUACAUCAGACUCUACGCAAUCCUAGAGAUUUUACAUGACCACAAAACACAUCUCUAGGUAUUGGCUUUGUCAUAGGAUCUGCUACCAUUCUAUGCGUAGAUAUGUACUGUAAGUUCACAUCCUUUCGUGCAACCAUAUCUUUCACAAAGUUAUACUUGGUAUCUAUAUGUUUGGUCUUGCCAUAAUACUUUGGAUCUUUGGUGUACGCUAUAGCUGCUUGGCUAUCACAGUUAACCAAUAAUUGAUUUGCAGCUUUCUCAAUAACACCUAAAUGAUCCAAAAAUCUCUUAAGCCAAACUCCUUCUUGUACUGCUGCUGAUAAUGCCACGAACUCAGCUUCCAUCGUGGACAAGGCUAUACACGUUUGCUUCUUACUACUCCAUGAUAUGGCGCCAUUGCUCAGUAAGAAAGCAAAUCCUGAGGUAGAUUUCCUUUCAUCUAAAUCUCCUCCCCAAUUAGCAUCUGAAUAGCCUUCAAGUCGCAGAUCCUUUCCUUGGUAAUUCAACUUGUAAUUAGCAUUUCCCUUCAGAUACCUCAGUAUUCUCUUAACGGCCUUCCAAUGUGCUGGACCUGGAUUGGAUUGGUAUCUACUCACCAUUCCAACUGCAAAGCAUAUGUCGGGUCUUGUACACAUCAUAGCGUACAUCAAGCUCCCAACAGCACUAGCAUAAGGAACAUGUUUCAUUUAUUCCUUCUCUUGUGGAGUCCUUGGACAUAGUCUAUGGCUCAAUCCUUCACCUUUUGCAAUAGGAGUGUCUAUGGGUUUACAAUCUUACAUACGAAAUCGUUCAAGAACCUUAUUUAUAUAGGUUUCUUGCGAAAGAGACAACGAUCUCUUCAAACGAUCUCUUGAAAUAUUAACUCCAAGAAUGUAUGCAGCCUCACUCAUAUCCUUCAUCUCAAAGUUGGAAGACAACCAACUCUUAACAGUAUGAACAAACUCCAUAUUACUCAUGGCAAUUAGUAUAUCAUCAACAUAUAAUGAUAUGAUCACAAAUUGAUCCUUGGAUCUUUUGAUAUAUACACAAUGAUCCUCAUCAAUCAUCGUAAAAUCAUAUGCCAUUAUGGCAUUAUGAAAACGUAUAUACCAUUGUCUUGAUGACUGCUUAAGACCAUAUAUCGACCUCAAAAGUCGACAUACUUUUUCUUCUUGGCCUUUCACUAUGAAACCAACAGGUUGUUCCAUAUAUAUUUCUUCCUCUAAUUCUUCAUUGAGGAAAGCAGUCUUUACAUCCAUUUGAUGUAACUCAAGAUCCAGACUAGCCAUUAUUGCCAGAAUAAUGCGAAUCGAGGUAAAUCUCACUACAGGAGAAAAUGUAUCUUCAUAAUCAAUUCCUUCCUACUGAUUAUACCCCUUUGCCACAAGGCGAGCCUUAUGCCUUUCUAUCGAGCCAUCAGCCUUUCGUUUUAUUUUGAGAACACAUUUGUUCCCAAUAGCUCUACGUCCUUUUGGAAGAUCAACCAGUUCCCAUACUUGGUUUGAUUUCAUUGACUCAAUUUCAUCUUCCAUUGCAUGAAUCCUUUUUUCCUUAUUAGGGCAAUUCAGAGCCUCAUUAAUAUUUCUUAGCUCAUCCUCAUCUUGUGGACCAACCAUAAAAGUUUCUCCUUCAAUGUCAAAACGUGGACGGGGAAUACUUUGGCGACUUGUUCGCCGUAUGGGAGAUUGUACACUUUGCACAUCAUUCCCCAUUAAGCUCCCACUUGGAUUAGGUAAUGAUGAUGUCGUCUCAUCAUGUGGUUGCAAUUGAGAAUGAUUUGAAUUCGAUUCAUCACUUCUCAUAUUACUCCCACUUGGACGAACUCCACUAAGAUCAUUAUCUUGAUCCAAGGUUUCAAAUAGGGAACAAUCUUCCCCUAUUUCGCCCUUAUUAGGAAAUUCAUCCUCUAAGAAUGUGACAUAUCGUGAUUCAAACUUAGUUAUACUCUCACUUUCCUGCUCACCCAUGAACACAUACCCUUUCGAGUGUUCAGAGUACCUUAUGAAAAUACUCUUCUUUCCUCCGGGACCCAAUUUCCCAAAUUUGUGAGAGGACUCAUGUGUAUAGGCAGCACAACCCCAUGGCUUAAGAAAACUUAAGUCCGAUUUUCUACCUAUCCAUAACUCAUAUGGAGUGGAAGUAACUGAUUUAGAAGGCACACGGUUAAGUAUAUAGGCAGCAGUUAACAACGCAUCACUCCAAAAGGUAAUAGGUAAGUUAGCAUGCGCCAUCAUGGACCUAACCAUUUCCGGUAGGGUUCUGUUUCUUCUCUCCGCAACACCAUUGUGUUGAGGAGUAUAUGGAAUAGACAACUGUCUUUCUAUUCCUUUUUCAUCACAUAAUUUUCUGAACUCAUCAGAUAAAUAUUCUGGACCUCGAUCGGACCUCACUGCUUUUAUUUUCUUGUUUAAUUGAUUUUCCACCAGGUUUAUAAAUCUUUUUAAACAACUUAUUGCUUCAGAUUUAUGUGAAAUCAAAUAGACAUAUCCGAAUCGAGUAUAAUCAUCUAGAAAGUGACAAAUAAACAGCCCCAACCUUCCUCUCACAUUCAUGGACCACAGACAUCNNNNNNNNNNNNNNNNNNNNNNNNNNNNNNNNNNNNNNNNNNNNNNNNNNNNNNNNNNNNNNNNNNNNNNNNNNNNNNNNNNNNNNNNNNNNNNNNNNNNUCUAAGCAAUGCUUACAGAUGGACAAAUCGACUUUUUCAAUGUUGCCCAACAAGCCCUCUUUGGCUAGUCUAUUCAUACAAUGUUGGCCAAUGUGACCAAGUCUAGCAUGCCACACAUUCACAUCAUUAUCAUAUGUAUUAGGAGACGUGAGAAGGGAAUAACAAACAUUUGCAUUAACAUAAUCAAUAUCUAAUACAAUGAAACCAUCCAGAAAAUAACCACAACCAUAGUAAUUUGUAUCCAAAAACAAAUUCACACCUCUACUAUAGAAGUUCAUAUUAAAACCUAAUUUAACCAACACUAACACAGACACUAAAUUCCGACGAAUCUCCGAAGCAUACAACACAUCAUGUAGGAACAAAGUGUGUCCACCACGCAUAUUCAGUUGGCAUGUGCCAAUUCCUUUCACUUCAGCUCUAGAGUUGUUUCCCACAUAGAUCCAUUUAGUUCCAGUUGGUACUCGUCGGAAUUCCACGAAGGAUCCUCUAUCCUUCGCUACAUGGUCUGUCGCUCCUAAAUCCACAGUCCACAAAGGAUUCGACUCAGUUAAGAACACAGAACUCGACACAAAAGCAAAGUUCUGAAAAGUACAAGGGGUGCAUACCUUCUUUGGCUCACAACAGUCGCGAGCAUAAUGACCCUUCUUGUCACAAUUGUAGCAUUUCACCCUUGCAAGCUUCUUCAUGCAAGGACCCUUUCCUCUUCCAUGUUGGUUAAACUUGGGUUUCUUCCCUGAAGGACCUUCUUCCUUGCCUUUCCCUUUAUCAAACCAGUUAGGGCGUUUGCGCUUGGAGCUCGAAGCUCCAUGUGAACUAGAACUAGCAUGAUAGAGUUCAGCAUCCGGCUUAGCCGCCAAGAGGCGGUCCUCUUCCAGCUCAAGAUGGCGCACUGCAUCCUCAAAAGUUUUGAUAUUUUCAUUAUGGGUUAGGUGCACCUUCAUAUGCUCCCAACUCUGAGGCAAGGAACGAAUCACUGCUUGCACUUGCUGCUCAUCUGUGAGGACAUGGCUAGCAUCUUUCAGCUCAUUUAUCAAGUUUGACAUCUUUCUAAGAUGUUGCUUCAUGGUCUGACCAUGAGGCUUCUUAUAGGAGUCAAACCUAAUAGUGAGCUGUCUCAGUCUGGUCACCGAAGUAUGACCAAAUCUAGCUGCCAAUGCCUCCCACAUUUCCUUGGCAUUGUCAAAACGCAUAAACUUUCGCAUGACAUCAUUUUCCAUGCUACUCAGCAACGUGAUGCGAGCAAGAGAGUUCUUUCUUUUCCAUGCAGCAAAUGCUUCCUUAUCUCUUUUGUGUUGCGCAGUGUUUCCUUCUUCAAUUUCUACCAUGGUCAGGUUAAGAGCUUCAAGUGCCUCUUGCUCUUCCAGCACAUAUUGGAUUUUCAUGUGCCAUAUCUCAUAGUUGUCACCAUUAAGCUUUUCACCUUUGUUCAGCUCGGCAACUAUGCUCUUUGUGGCUGAAGCCAUUGAUCUGAACAAAUUAGACAAAUAUGCACGAAUUAUUAAUACCUAUCAUUUAUGCAUCCCUAUUUACAUAGACCCAUCAUAUUAAUGAAUAAUUUCAAGUAAGGCUUUAGAAUCAAAAGGUCACUACGUUUCCAAUCAUCCUCCAAAAAUCCUAACUUAAAACUAUCAUUAAUAUGAUUGGCUCAUGCAAAAUCAAUUCUAUGAAGCUACAAAAACUUCUAAAACUACCCACAGCUAACUACCCACAGCAACCAGCAAUAACAGAAAGCAACAGAUAAUUGACAUACAAUAUAAUAAUGCUUUCAUAUAAUACAACUAACAUAUAGGUUGCUACAUCAACAACAAUCAGGUAGUUAGCCUUACAUAAGAUGUCCACAAAGCACACUUAACUAAGAAAACAACCAAUACAUCUAACACAAAGUCAGCACACGAAUUGGGAAGGAUCCUCUUUUGUUCAAUUUCUUGAUCUUUUCCCUUGUAACAAUACAGCAAUAUUCAUUUACAAAAUCCAUCACAAUUUUCUUAUAUGAAGCAGCUCCGUUGACGUCCCAUAUGCGAUUCAACACAUCUUGCCAUUCUAGUGGAAGAGUAUUUAUGAAAAAUCGCACCAUCUCUGACUGUGACAUAGGACGACCAUUCCAUAUGACCUUUUGAAUUUUCUCGUUGACUUCAAGAUCGUGAUCAAUUAAGUCACCACUCUCUCAUCGAUGAUCAGUCAGCUCAGCUAUCAACUUAGACAGCCUAUCCUUUUGUUCAUCGUUAAUUGCGCGAAUAGGUGUGCGCAAUCUCAGAGGAGCCAUUGUUCCUGCAACAAAUGCAGAACAAAUAAAGGAUCACAUUAUAAUCCACAUAGACUUAAUUGAAAAAAAAAACACAUUCUUUUCCUUCCUUUUUUUUUUUUGGUCAACGGUCAACGGUGGUCAACGGUCAACGGCCGUCAACGGUCAACGGUGGUCAACGGUCAACGGUCGUCAACGGUCAACGGCCGUCAACGGUCGUCGGUCAUCGGACCGGUCGGACUGGAUAGACCGGUCCGACCGGUCGGGCCGGUGGGGCCGGCUCGGGCGAACCGACGGCACGUGCCGCGCACGUGCGUGGGCUGACAUCACGCAGACAUCAGCCGACACGUGCCGCGCGCGUGCCAGGUCUCCGCAGUUUGGGUCGGGUCGGAUCGCCGGUCGGGUCGCCGGCCGGUGACCGCCUGGUGAAACGUCGUCGUGCUGACGUCAUCAAUGACAUCACCCUAGCGGUUACUGACCGUUGGGUGACGUCAUGCUGACGUCAGCACGCACCGGUCCGCGGACCAGCGCGUGCCAGUUCGCUGGCCGACGGCGAGCACGUGCCGGUUCGCCGACCGACGCGUGUGUCGCACGCGUUGGGCGAGCCAGCGCUUCCAGGCGCAUCGUGCCCACGCGCAGCGGCUUCCAGCCGCGCGUGUGGGCACGUGCGGCGUCUCCCGGCGACGCUCGACAUAUCGCUAGACUCGUCUCGACGUCACCUUUCUUCCUAUGCCAUUAUAAUUCGAUUUCGACUUACGAAAACUCGGAAAAAUGGCCGAACAGCGCUCGGGUGUCGGGAUUUCUCGCCCCGAUCCGUACGGCCGAAUGGCUUUUGCAAAAAAUCAAUCAAAAAACGUCAAACAGGUCGGGAAAACGUGAACUAGAGCUCCGAUACCAAUGUUGGCAAUAACGGAUCCCCGAAAACCGGAUUCGACACUAAAUUGAACCCCUAAAUCAAUGCGGAAGACGAGCCCGGGAAAAAACAACACAUAUCACCGAUCCUAAAGCACACCACGAAUUCGAGCGUACCUUUUAGCCACAGAUUAGACACCAACGCCAAUGGAGGAAGAGAAAUUAGGCCCUGUUCAAUCCGACGAAGCAAAAUCCUUUGAGCGCUUCACUGUUUUUGCUUUGAAGAAAACGAGAGAGAGAGAGAGAGUGCGUAGAGAGAAAACGUACGUCUUUUUCUUUAAACAAAACGGUGCAUUUUUCUCUCUCUCUCUCUCCUCCCUUUUAUACAUCUCUCCUUCCACUGGCCCUAUUCCCAUGGGCCGGGCUUUCUGGGCCCAACUUGGGCGGACGGGCCUUAAGCCCAAUACUAAUAAAGCCUUCAGUCCAUCUUGUUCUUGAAAACCCAUUUAGCUCCAAUAAUAGAUUUACCUUUUGGUUUAGGAGUUAAUUCCCAAACAUUGUUAAUGUUAAACUGUCUAAGCUCUGCUUACAUAGCUUCAAUCCAGCUUUCGUCAAUCAAAGCUUUUUUUAUGCUUUUGGGUUCUGUUUCAGAAAUAAGUGCCACAGCGCUAGACUGUUCUUGCUUUUUGGAUCCGGUGUGAAUCCCUUCAUCAAUAUCACCGAUGAUGAGUUCUUUAGGAUGACUAGACUUGUGCUUUUAGUUACUGGUCGGUCUGACAGAUUGAUGUUCUUCAACUUUAGUUAAUUCUUCAAUUUCCGUUUGUUGAUGAUCUUCAGAAGUCUGAGCUACUUCAAGGGAGGUAGACUUUGUAAGGUCUGAAGCAGGUUUAGAUUCUUCAGGUUGAGUCUGAAUCAAUUGAUUUCGCAAAGAGUCUUGAAAUUUGACAUUCAUAGAUUCUUCUACAGACUAAGCCUUAUUGUUGAAUACUCUAUAGGCUUUGCUGGUGGUUGAAUAUUCAAGGAAGAUUCAUUCGUCUGAUUUCUCCUCAAACUUACCAACUCGAUCAUUUGCAUUUUUCAAAACAAAGCAUUUGCAUCCGAACACAUGGAAAUAAGAAACAAUUGGCUUCUUUCCUUUGAAUAACUUAUAGGGAGUUUUCUCCAGAAUAGGCCUUAAGAAUACUCUAUUAAUAAUAUAGCAAGUUAUAGAAACUGCUUUAGCCCAAAAACGAGAAGAAAUAUUACUUUCUAUUAAAAAAGUUCUUGUCAUUUCUUGCAAAGAUCUAUUCUUUCUUUCCACAACUCCAUUAUGUUCUGGAGUGUAUGGAGAGGAGAAAACAUGUUAAAAAUCAGAUUCAUCACAGAAUUUUACAAAGUCUUGAUUUUCAAACUCACCUCCAUGGUUUGUUUAUAUGCUCGAGAUAGCAUAUCAUUUCUCAUUCUGAACUUUCUUAGCAAACUUUGAAAAGCGAGAAAAUGUUUCAGACUUACUUGUCAGAAAGUAAACACAAGUAAAUCAUGAAUAAUCAUCCACAAUUACUAGGUAAUAUCUCUUUCCACCAAUACUUUGAGUUAUGGUUGAUCCAAAAAGAUCCAUAUGCAGUAGCUGCAAAACAUGAUUAGUAGAAACUUGAUUUAUUGAUUUAAAAGAACUUCUUACCUAUUUUCCCAACACACAUGGUGUGCAUAAGUUGGAUUUUUGAAACUUCAGAUUAGGCAGUCCACGAACAAGUUUCACGGAAGAGAUCUUGGCAAUUUGCUUCAUGUUGGCAUGGCUAAGCUUUCGAUGCCAAAGAUUUGCUUCAUCUUGAAUUGAAAUUAGACAUUGGGAUCUUUCUAGUUUUAUAUUCAGAAGAUAAAUGUUCCCAUGUCUUCGUCCAAUAAAAGAUUGAGAAAGAUCUUUACUAGUUCCCGAACAUACUCCUUGGAAAUUGAUUUUGAAUCCAGUGUCGCACAAUUGGCUAAUGCUAAGUAGAUUGUAAUUUAGUCCUUCCACCAAGGAGACAUUGUUGAUUGUGAGACUUCCAAUCUUUACAGUUUCACACCCAACAAUUCUUCCUUUUCUAUUCCUACCAAAAUAGACUUUUCCACCAUUUAUUUAAACAAAUUUUGUAAAAUAACUUGAAUCUCCAGUCAUGUAUCUUGAACAGCCACUAUCUAAAUACCAUUUAACAUUUUUCUUAAUAGUGACCUGCAAUUAAAAAAGAAACUCAACCUUUCUUUGGUACCCACAUUUUCUUAGGUCCAGUGGAGUUAGUGCAAUAUACAGCAUUUCCACAUUCCUUCUUAAUAGGUCUCCAAACCAUAGGACAUUCUUUCUCAAAAUGUUCUCAGCUGUUACACUUAGAACAUUUGAGAGCACUUCGAUCAACAAGUUUUACAAAGACUUUUUGAAAAUGAUUUCUGUAAAAAGUGUUUGCAGGUCUUUGUACUGAAAGAAUCUUUUCCAACUUUUCAAAUUCUAUUGAAAACCUUUUUGAGAUAUUUGAAAUGUCAUCUUUCAAAAUUGUAUUUUCUUUUGAAAGAGAGUCUGCGUUUUCUUUUAAAAUGGCAAAAGUUUUGUCUAAAUUUUCAAACUCUUCUUUCCAAGAAUUUUCAUGUUGCUUCAGUGUCUCCCCUUUUAGCUCAGAAAUCCUCUUAAGAGAUGUUUUGAGACUAAGACAAAGCUCAUCAACGUAUUUUGAAACUUUAUUAGGAAUUUUUAAAUUACUUACCUCGAUUUCGCUGUCUGAGUGUGAGUCUGCAUCUGUCUUAGAGUCUGAGUUUAAUUUUGCCAUUAAACAAAUAUUGGCAUAAUCUUCAUCACUUUCUUCACAUUCAGUAUCACUCCAUGUUUCUGCUUUGAGAGCUUUUCUGUAUUUCUCAGCUUUUCCCUUAUUUUUCUUCAACAGAAGACAAUUGGGUCUGAUGUGUCCCUUUUUCUUGCAUUCAAAGUAGAUCACAUAUUUAUUGGUUUCAUCAUCCUCAAUUGAUUUGUUUUGAAACUUUUGAGUGUUUUGUUUCUUCCAAUUAAGCCUUCUUCCAUUUUUGUUUAGUUUCCUGAACCUCUUUAUCAUAAGUGCUAGCUCCUCAUUGUCCAUAUUAUAUUCAGAGUCUGGAACAUCAGAAUUAUUGUUAGAUUUUAAGGCAAUUGACUCCUUACCUUUAAGAUAUUCUUUCUCGUUGAUUUGCUCCACUUUAUAAGACUGAAGGGUGCCAACCAGUUUACCUACCGAAAGUGGCAUGAUCAUUUGUGUUUCCCUUAUUGAAGUCUUCACGUGAUUCUAGUCUUUGGAGAGUCCACGCAACAAUUUGUUGACCUUCAUUGGUCCUGAGAUUGACUAUCCCUGAUACUCUAAACCGUUUACAAUUUCUGUAAAACGACUAAAUAUGUCGGUGAUAGAUUCUCCUAACUUCAUCUUGAAGGCUUCAUACUGUCUGAGUAGAAUAUUGAUCCUUAUUUCUUUCACUCGAUCAGUUCCUUCAUAAGUAAUGUGCAGCCUAUCCCAGACUUCUUUGGCUAUUUCACAAUAAGAUAUUUUGUUAUACUCAGUAGGAGAUAAUGCACAAUAUAAGGAGUAAAUUACUUUAGCAUCAAGAGCUUGUCUCUUGGUUAUUUCUUCUUAAGUCAUCUUACUAGCAUCUGCAACUUCUUUUCCUCUUUCUGAAAUUGAUGUAGAUUUAGGAAUGAUUCCCUUUUCUACCACAUCCCAUUCUAGAGGAUCUUUCAAUCUUAGGAAUGCCUUCAUCUUGUUUUUCCAUAUGCUGUAUUCAUUUCCAUCGAAGUAAGAUGGUCUGGUGUUGCUCUGGCCUUCAACCAAACCUGGAGCCAACAUACUAGACAUAGAUCUUUAACUCAGAAGUAAAAACACUUGAAUUAAAUGAGCACACAGGCCCUGAUACCAAUUGAUAGGGCUAGUAAGAGCACAUAGAGGGGGUGACUAGGUGAUCAAAGAAGUUUUUACAAAACUUAACAAAUUAAUUCGUCUUCUGGGAAUAAUAGACUGAAGAUGUAAAAGACUAUAACCAGUUAUAUAAAAUUACGAAUUAAAGUAAAGAGAUUAGGGAAAGAGAAUUGAAACACAAGGUUUAUAGUGGUUCGGCUUAAAUCAAGCAUAUGUCCACUCUCCCGCACUAACAACCCACUGGCUAGAUUCCACUAAGAACCAAAAGAGAUUUUACAGUCUCACGUCCUUGAUUCCAUAGUGUAGAAACUCUGCUACACUUCUUCAAGGUCUCACAAGUAUUUAAUCUCUCUUUUGAGUACAAUUUAAGCUCAAGAAUUGAAACAGCAAAGAACUAGGAGCUUCAAACAUUGGAAUUUUUCUUUCACGCACACACUUGAAUAACUUGAGCGUCUUCCUUAUAUACUCAUCUAUGCCUUUAUAACCGUUGGCACCUUCCAAAAGAGUUCUUCCAAUUUACCCUUUAGACAUAAUCAAUUAGGGAGAUCUCGAGUUAUUUAAGAAAUGUGAUGAUAGCCCGCCGAUCAUGCUCGCCCAUACAAAUAAGAUCUAGGUUUCCAUAAGUAGAACCUUCCAAGUAUUCUUUGCCAAUCAACAGAUCUAAUUAUUCAAAUUGAUUUCAAUUAGAAUAAUUGAUCAUGAGAUAUUAUCUCCAGUCGUGAGAUCUUCUUCAACCGUAUGAACCAAAUCCUCAAAAGAUAUACUCACAUCUGGACAACCAUUCUUCAUCAGAUCAAUCUUUUCUUCAACGGUCUGGAAACUAGCAGUGAGGGUAGACUUUAAAUCUUGAGUCUGGAGGUCUUCAAACUUUGACUAUAGAGUCUGCAAGUCUUCAAACUAGACUGAUGGAAACGUUUUGUCAACUUCAAAACAAAUAAGGAAGUUUUCUCCAACAUCUGCAAGCGUCAAACAACAAAAGUUCAAUAGUUAUAAAAGAGUCAAAAACCAUAGCUCAAUCAAAAAGAUAAAAGUUAAAGUCAAAUCUGCACAUUCUCCCCCUUUCUGUCAGUAGCAAAAAGUGGAGAAAGAUAAAAAGUUUAAUGAAAUCAGGUGUGUUUAGGAAUGCGAACGAGCUAGAAAUCUCCCAUCAACUGAACUGUCUCCUCCAGCUUUCGCACUGUUUCAUUCAGCUUCUCAACAUCUUCAACUUUGGCAGUCUUUUUAACUUGCUAUUGUAAAGCUUGAACUUGAACAUUAAGAGCCUAUAUCUUUUCAUGAAGAGAAUUUGAAGUUGAUUGCAAAGCAGAGUGAAGCUUCAGGAUCUCACACUCCAUUCCAUAUUGUUGUGCUUUUAACUCCACGAGUAGCUCUAGCAGCCUUUGAAAGUCUGUAGAAGUUUCUGUUUGUACACUAGCCUCAGCGUGUUCAGUUUGUGGAGUGUUGAUAGAUGAGAGAACUUCAGCUUGUCGAACAUCAUGAAUAGGAGAGGAUUCCUCAAUGUCAGCUUCAAGAAACUGUGAAGCAUAGACAUCCUCUGGAUCGGUAGGAGAUCUACUAACAUCGUCACUGGCAAAGUGCUUAGAACAAGUCCCUGUGUCCACACGAGCUCCCCCUGUUUUGGUGCCUACAAAUGGAGAAGGGAUUUCUCCUUCUUGUUCCUUCUCAAUUUUAGCAUUGGAGUGAUGUUCUUUUUCUGUUCGAUCCCUAAUAGUUCCAUUCAUUGUCUUCUCUGAAUCCUUAGAUAAGGAUAUUGCAAAAGUUGGUUCAAUAGAAUCAUUCUAACCCUCUUCCUCUUCAGCUGUUCUUCCUUCUUCUCUAGCUUCUCUACCUGCUUUUCUCUACUCUAUUUCUCCUCUUUCUCUUUCUUCUUUGUCUUGUUCCUGCUCAAAACUGACAAAACUCCGAAGAUUUUUCAAGGCAAAUGCAAAGAGAGUAAGAUCAUCCCCAUCCUCUUCAUCCUACAAGAUAAGAAAUCUCCUCUUCUUUGUAGGUUCACACAUAGGCUCUUUGCCUUUCCUUUUCUUUGUAGCAAAGUCUUGUUUGGUUUUGCUGGGGGACUUCUCCUUCAAGAGCUCUAAAGCUUUGGUCAAUUCCUUUAACCUCAUCUUGGACACCAUUUUCAAUCCUAUAAUCAUAGGAACAAUAGUUCUAGUACAAAGAGAGGUUGGAAACUGAAUGUGAAAGUGUUUGAACAGUUGUGAGACCAGCACUGAGUAAGGGAGCUGUCCUUUAUCCUUCACAACAGUUCUGUAGAUAUGCAUCAGGAUUGUAUGAGGCAGAAAGAACUUCAUUUCAUUACUAAUAGCAAACAUCAAUUUGGCUUCAAAUUGAGAAACAUCUAUCUUUGAAGUUGACUUUGGUCGGAUGCAGUUGAUUACGACUUUGUACAGCAAAAUGUUUGAGGCAGACAGUCUGGAAUAAGUAAUGCCGCCUUUAGAAAGUUUGUCCCUAACAAGAAAACUUGUCGCAUGACCAAUAGAGACAUUUAUUGGUUGGAAACUACCUCUUUCCACACCAAUAACAUCAACUAAUGUGUCAACAUCCACCAUGUACUAUUUCUCCCUCAUAGUAAAUCAAAAUCUAUUCACGUCAAGAAAUGACAAGUUAGAAUAGAAAUAUGCAGUCAAUUCAAGAUAAGCAACAAUAGUUUCAGAACAAAAUUUUUCAAGUUGAAGGAGAGUCAGCUUCUCCCUCAGGUUCACCCUUAUUAAAUCCAAGAAAUUAAAGUCGACCGAACGAGGGUUCAUCACCCCUCUUUUCAGCAAUUUGGAGUAAACCUUUCUGUGAUCCUUAGAACGAAAAAAACUCAUUCCAUCACUAUGCACUUCAGUAGCAAUGCCCCUUCUAGGCUGAAAAUUCGAGUACGUUUUCUCAUCAUCGUCCUUUAUCUCUGGCUGAUUGAAAGAACUAAAAUGAGGAUCAACAGGAAAGUUAGCAAACAUUCUAUCUGCCGUUCCUUCAGGCGCUAUGCCUAAUCUUUACAUUGCUUGUAAAAACAGAACCUCAUUCUUGUAACCUCUUUCUUUUAGAAAUUCAUCAAUAAAGGUCAUAGCAGUACCACCUUGCUUCAACUGAUUGUAAAGUUUAAAAAGGACCUGGGGUUUCAACGUCCUGACAGGUUCAACAUCUUCCACGAUUUCCUCUUCUACUAGUUGGCGUGGAGGAUUUUGAGUAACGCGAUGUGGAGAAUGUUGUGGAGAAUCUUCUUCCUCGGUUAGAUCAAAAUAUGUAGGACCCUUAGGCAUAUUGCGUGGUCCCAUGCUUGAGAUCCGAGAUGACUUUCUUUGGAAAGACAUCUUCACAGUCUUUGAGGAUUUCCUGAACACAUUCGAGUGAAAAAGAUGAAAACUUGUGUAGCAAACUUGAGAGUAGAAAUGAGAGAGCAUAAAUUUUGUAUUUUAGGGUUUGAGAAAUAGUAAAUGAAGAAGAAAGACUAGACGAUAUAUAAAUAAAGUAAAACGGGAUAAAUGAAUCGUCAUAAAAAGAAAACUGCCUUUUUUCAAAAAUAAAAGCUACCAAAAAUUCAAAAAUUCGAAAAAGAUAAUUUCUAAAAAUAAAAUAGGCAAGCAAUGAUUCAAAUAUCCACGUACCUUUUCGAGAUCUUCAUACUAAAAUUAAAUUACCUGUAUUGAAGAGAUAUUAACUUACUGAAGUAGUUUCUGGACAUUCUAAGUCUGACCAACUUUAGACUUUAAUCGGUAGGAGAUAUAAUAUUCAGUCUGAUGUGAAUAGACUCAAAUAAAUUUUUCUCCAGUGACUUUAUAAAUAUGUCUGCCAACUGAUUCUUCGAGUCAAUAAACUGAAUCAUAAUUUCUCCAUUUUGAACAUGAUAUCUUAUGAAAUUGUGUCAAAUCUCUAUAUGCUUUGCUCUUGAAUGAAGAAUUGGGUUCUUCAUGAGAUUAAUAGCACUUGUGUUGUCACAUUUGAUCUCAGUGCACGAUUCUUCAAUUCCAAAGUCUCUUAGCUGUUAUCUUAUCCACAAAAUUUGGGAACAACAACUCCCAAGAGCCACAUACUCUACUUCUGUUGUCGAUAGAGCUACAAUACUCUGCUUCCUUGAGAACCAAGACACCAGCAUGUUGCCCAGAAGUUGACAAGUACCAAAAGUACUCUUUCUAUCGACUUUACAACCUACUAAAUCUGCAUCUGAAUAUUCAAGGAGAGUAAAAUCUCCUUCUUUGGGAUACCACAGACCUAGCUUUGGAGUAGUUGCAAUGUAUUUAAUGAUGCGUUUUGCAGCACUUAUGAGAUUCUUUGGGAUCAGAUUGGAAUUUAGCACAGAUGCAAACACUAAACAAAAUAUCAGGUUUAGAUGCAGUCAGGUAAAGGAGUGAACCAAUAAUGCUCAUGUAAAGCUUCUAGUCUACUUUAUUUCCUCCUUUAUCUUUGUCUAGUUUUGAAGAACUUGACAUUGGCGUCUCCGUCUUUUUGCAAUUUUCUAAUCCAAAUUUCUUAAUAAGAUCUUUCGCAUACUUCUCUUGGUGAAUAAAGAUACUUUUCUUCGAUUGUUUAACUUGCAAUCCCAGAAAGAAAGUUAACUCACCCAUCAUACUUAUCUCGAAUUCAUCAUGCAUACAACUAGAGAAUUUCUUGCAUAGAUUUUCAUUAGGGGAUCCAAAGAUAAUAUCAUCAACAUAAAUUUGAACUAGCAUAAAGUCUUUACCCUCUCUUUUUAGGAACAGAGUAGUAUUUACAUUUCCUUUAACAAAACCAUUUUGGGUUAGGAAUUUACUUAACCUUUCAUACCAAGCUCGAGGUGCUUGCUUCAAUCCAUACAAGGUCUUUUUCAGUCUUUAGACUAAGUCUGGCUUUCUUUGAUCUUCAAACCCUAGCGGUUGUUCCACAUAGACUAUGAGCUCACUCCUAGAUAUGAGCUCAUUGCCUCCUCUUGUAGCCAUUGUCGCCAUUUGGCACUGCACUAGCAUUUGCAUUGUUUAAGCUUUCAUGGGAAGCUAUAGGAUGAGGAAGCUCAUUCGACUGGAAGCACGAAAUACCUAUAAGUGACUCCCAAGCUGACUCCUCAAAUGCAUCUUGGCGCCUUGACCCUGACCUCCAUUACAGCUGUACUAUCACUACUUUUCCUGCCAUAUACAAAUCAACACUCAGGUAUUGCUCCUUCCAUAGUCUUGAUUGUGCAUCUCUUGAAUCAUGCUAGAGGACAGAGUAGACAGCAAACCUAGCAAAGACACAAUGUGCAAUAAGAUGAACCCAGAAUGAGAGAUUGAAGUCGCGACAUGUAUUCGUCAAGUAUGGCUGAUGAACAUAAUGACGCGUUAAUUACAGCAAGUUAACAAAUGGUUUAUCAACUAAUAGCUACUUUUAAUGGAGAUAAUGCCUUUUUCUAUAAUUUUUUACUAGAUAAAUGAUUUUCUCAUAAGUUUCGUUUGAUGUUGCAUGUUCUAGUAAAAUUGUUAUUUCUCAUUAGUUAACUUUUUUAGUUAUUAGAUUUUUUUUUCAAUUACCAAGCAUGGACAUUCUCAAAUUAAAAACAAUUAUUGUGGAAGCGUGGUCGUACACACUAGGUGCGAAUUUAUGCCGCAUUAUAGUACGUGGACUUGUGAACGAACCAGUAGCCGGUCCAAGAUUCCAAGCUGAUGACAAGAUUUUAUUUGGGCCGGGCCUAAUUUUCUCUUUUCCCCCUAAUUCGUACAAGCUCCUAUGAAAUGUUACUAAAUCAACCGGCCCAAAGCCCGAGCCCUUUUAUCUUAAAUAAAUAGGUUAAGUCAAGAAUAAUACACUUGGGCUUUGUUUGUAGUGCAAUAAAUAUUUUCUAAGAAGUAAUUUUCUAGGGAAAUGAAAAUUCCGGCGUUUGGUUGAGUUUUGAAAAUAAACAAGAAAAUAUUUUCUAUCAGUUAAUAAGGAAAACUUCAUUUGAUUUUCCUAAAUAGACAUACAUUAUCCAAGCACUACUGACAUGCAUAUGGUUAUCAAAAGAAACGAUUACGGGCACCAAGGUCUCAAGCCAAUAUCCCCAACCCUUGAGCAUGAGCAUUGGCACUAGUCUUGGAUCCACUAAUAUCAAGCUCGAAAACUUGGUGCCCAUGCUCUAACCCGGGUUUAUAGAGGUUGGGCCCUGGUCAACAACACCCAAGCAUGGGUCAAUUGAGGUUGAGCCUCAAACCCGAAACCCAAGACACAAUCCCUUAUGCUCGAACCUAAGUCCAUCAAGGUCUAGUCCUAGACCUUAGCACCCAUGCCCGAGUCCAUUGAGGCCAAGCCUUAAUCCCAAGCUCGACAUCAAUAGACUAAGGCAUGGGCGCAAGCAACCUAGGCAUGGGAACGAGAGUUUUAGGCUCGGCGUUGAUGGAUUUGGGCUUGAAAAUCAAGGACCUAUACAUGGUUUUCAAGGUCUGAGGCUCUACCUUGAUAGACUUGGGCACGGAUGCCGAGGAUCAAGCCCAAUGUCCUAGCACGAGCACUGGUAUUCUUGGCCCAACCUUGAUGGACUUGGGCGCAGCAACCGGUGUCUCAAGUAUCGUCUAGAUGGACCCGAGUAGGGGUGCUAGGAACAAGCGCUAGGGUUCACAUGUUAAGCGCUGAGUUUCUAGUUCAAGUGUCUAUACCUAGUCAUAUUUUAGAAAAUGAUUGUCGAUUUUAUAAAGAGGAAUUCGUUUUCCUAAAUUUAAGUUAUUGUAGGAGAACAUUUUCCAUUAAUUAUGAAAAUAUUUUCCAUUGACUCAUUUUUUUAAGAAAUCAAAAUACCAAAAAACAAACGAAGCCUUAAAUGAUUCAAAUCUAUGUGGUGCUUUGAAUUUACAUAGAUAUAAUAUGAUAUGCCAGUGGAUAUUAUAUGUAAAAAUAAUAUCACCAAAAACUCUAAAUUAUACUUGUGGUGACAUCCAAACUUCUAAACAAUUUUUUAAUGUCAUAAAGAACUUAAGCUCUGCCCACCGUAACAUUAAUACCCUAAUUUUAUUUUUUUUGUCAUGAAAGAUCGUGUAAAUUGUACCUGUGUGAUUAACAUACCUUCCAUCACAAUUCUAUCCAAAAUCAUCAUUAAAAACUCCACUGGCGACUUACAUGGACAACAACAUGCAAUUGGAGCCGACGUGGAUCCAACUUUGCCUUAGUGAAGCCAAAAUGCCGUCAAUUUCAGGAGGGAAAUGAUACGACACGGCCAUAGAAUGACGUCGUUCCCCGCUAGAAAUGACUUCAAUUUGGCUUCAGUGAAACCGCGCCAGAUUCACAUAUGCUCCGUAUGCCUGGCUUUGCGUACGUAAGCCACCCCGUAGUAUUUUUUACGGCAUAUGACGGAGGAUAUAUUUGUCAUAUGAAUACAAGCGUGUGACUUUUUUCUAGUAUCAGAAAAAAGUUCGGAAUAUUAAUCUCAUGGUGAGCAUAGUUCAGGAUUUAUAAUUACUCAAGAAUUGAAGUAUUAAUAUCGAAGUUUUUCAUAAUAUUACCCCGUCUAUAGUCUUAGUGUCUCAACAGGUCAGUAAUAGUGCACAAUCUUAUAUUUGUACGUGAAAAUAAAUCACCCAGGCAUAAUUUUAAACUUGAAAAAUCUUUGCAUUAGUACGUUUUUCGUGUGCACGAUGCAUACGUCUUCUGUCUACCGUGAUCACGUUGAGCAAAUUCAACGGGAGAAAAGAAGCAAGACUUAGGCAUAUUUCAAUGGUGAAGACUUCAACGAUUCGACAGAUCUUGACAAUUUUCGCCCUUCUCCUUUUUCUUUUCCAGUUCAGGCGGCUCUUCAUUUUCCUCCCUCGCCAUUGAAAUUCCUUCCUCCAUAAACUCCAUGAAGAAGCUGGUAUCCAUCGAUGACUGUCGUGCGAUUUGUAAAAUGUUCUUAAAUCUUUAGUCCGAUCCAUUUAUUAUUUCUUUAGGCGUUGGUCAAAACCUGAUGAAAUCUUCUCCGACAGAGGCAACUGUUUGAUUAGGAGGAGGGAUGCAGUCGACACAGAUUAUGCCAGAGAGGCAAGAUCCCUUUUAUGAUAUAGUAUCGAAAUGUCUCCAGAUGAUAGUCUAAUGCUGACCGAACUACAGAAAACAAAAGUGAUUUGCAAUAAUAUAGGGCGGCGUACCAAGCGUGCUUACAAUAAAGUUCAAUUUGAUAGUCUAAUGCUGACCGAACUACUGAAAACAAAAGUGAUUUACAAUAAUUUAGGGCGGCGUGCCAAGCAUGCUUACAAUAAAGUUCAAUUUCCUUCUGCGAAAAUAGGGUAUAAACUUUGAACCCAUAUGCAAUGUAGUUUAUGAGUGUAAUCUCUAAAUUGUAGCCUAAUGCGCAAUGUAGUCCUUGAACUUUCAAUUUGUUCGAUACAAUUCUUGAACUUUUUGUAUAUAUUCAACUUAGUUCCUAAAUUAUAUGAAAAUGUUCAAUAUUUUCAUUCUAUUAAUUCAAGUUUAGGUAUAAUAUUGAAUAUUUUUAUAUAGUUCGAGGACUAAAUUCAAUGUGUACCAAAGUCCAAAGACCACAUUAAACAAAAUAUAAAAUUUAGGGGCUAUAUUGUACAUUGGGUUAAAGUUAAAGGAUUAUUUAUAUCAUUAUCUCAUAAAAAUAUGACAAGAGGUUCAAGUUCUAUACACCAAUUUGCCUUUGUAGGCCAAAUUAUUGACAAUAUAUAUAUAUAUAGGACGAUAAGUCAACUGAAGAUGUGCCGUGAUUUAAGUCGAAUUGACCAUAACUUGCCUUAAUUCCCAAGCUAUGCUAUGUGUGGCAAUUGUUGGUGUUGAAGAUGAACGUACUGAAUUAUCAUUGACAAGGCUAAACAAACAAUACAUUGAGAUUUCAUAUCAUAUCAUAUUUAGUGUUAUCUUGAUUAAAAAUCCAAAUGAUCAAACGUAGCUUUAAGGUGCAAAAAAAAAAAAAAAACUUAAGAUUUUACAUUGAACGAAUUAAAGUCUUAGGGACCAUAUUGCACGUUGAGCUAAAAUUCAUGAAUUAUUUACGUCAUCAUUUCAUAAAAAUAUGACAAGAAGUUCAAGUUCUCUUCACCAAUUUGCCCCUCUGUCGGCCAAAUUAUUGAAUAUAGAUAUAUAGGAUGAUAAGUCAAGUGAAGGUGUGCCACGAUUUAAAUCGAAUUGACCUUAACUUGCCUUAAUUUCCAAGCCAUGCUAUGUGUGGCAAUAGUUGGUGUUCAAGAUAAACGUGCAGAAUUAUCAUUGGCCAAGCCAAACAAAUAAUAGAUUGAGAUUUCAUAUCAUAUCUUAUUCAUUCAUAUCUUGAUUAAAAAUCUAAAUGACCAAACACAAUCUUAGGGUGUGAACAUGUUGAAUUAUUAUUGGUCGCGUCUAAACAAAGAAUACAUUAAGAUUUCAUGUUAUAUCCUAUUCAGUUAUAUCUUGAUUAAAAAUUCAAACGACCAAAUGCAGCCAUAAGGUGUGAAUAUUUCACGAAAAAACUUAAGAUUUUGAAAAUAUUUUCUAACAAGCGAUCACUUGUAUUNNNNNNNNNNNNNNNNNNNNNNNNNNNNNNNNNNNNNNNNNNNNNNNNNNNNNNNNNNNNNNNNNNNNNNNNNNNNNNNNNNNNNNNNNNNNNNNNNNNNAUGAAUGAAAAAUGUUUUCAUCAUCCAUAAGUUUAAUAUCGUGAUUGUUUUUCAUAGAUAUAACCAAUCAUUUUUCAGAAAAUAUUUUCAAAUAUCGAAUUUACUGUGAAACAAAUGCGCCAUAAGUGAACGAUUUUGAAAGUAACUUCAGUUAGUGCUCGAAAAGUUGUGAUAUUAAAUGGAGCACCGCAUAUAAUAUGUUGGUAAUUAUACUUUGCCCCUCAAGUUACUAGUUGUGCUUAGUACCAAAGAGACGCUUGGUUGCUCAAGAAAUUUGCUUUGGUAGUCUCACUUAGAGUUGUAUUAAAAUGUGUCUUUAACAAUUCGCUUUUUAAUAUGUUAAAACUGGAGGUCCCGAAUUCGAAUCUUUCCAAGUCCCAUCCGCUUCCCUAAUUAAAUAGUUCGACGCUUAAUACUAAGCAAAAAGACGAGACUAAACGUGAGGAAAAAUGUUAUGAUAUUUAAAUAAUAGAUCACGCAUUCAUUUAAUAAUUUAAUAAAUUCAAAUUCCCAAUUCGGCCAUUAGGAUUUGAAUGUGGUGAAUUAUCAAUUUCCACAAAAUGUCAAAACAAAGCGCCUAAUUUUGUUGCCACUUGACCAGAGAGACUUUCACUUUCAGCUUUGAUUGACCAUCUCUCCCGGCUUUUAUCAUCAUGCUAUCUUUAUGACAAUAUAUAUAGCUUAUAAUUGCAACUUAAAUUGUCAUCGCUCUUGUUUGCACGUCUUGAUAGAUGAUCUUCCAGUCGGCAUCCAAUGAGAAAAAAUCAUCUGCUUACCAUAGUCCGUGAGAAAAUCUCGAUAUGGUAGCUUCCGCUUUCAAUCACUGCCAUAUUGUCAAAUCCGUUGGACUGCAUUCAAUUUCGACUAAAGCCAUUUAUCACUUGGGAGAAUACCCUAAAUAGGAUUUUGAUUUAUUCAGAGUUUGUUCUAUAUGAAUUUAAUGGUGUGUAAGUCAAAGUUUCAAUGCCUUCCUACCCCCAUUUCCUAUUCCAAUUAUAACAAUAUGGGUUCUCAUUCAUCAUGGUUAAACCCUGUUAUUCAGUUUCACUGGGGUCAAUAAUCUUUCAUUUGAUAAAAGUAAAACCAUGUCCAAAAUGAACAAGUGCAUGAAAAAAGUCACAUGCGUGCGAUAUUUCUAGAAAAUUCAGGCGGUCUUUUUUGGAAAUGAAAUAGUAAAGCGAUUGAUUAUGGUGGUUGGUCAGUUUAGCUUAUGAGGACCGCAGGAUGUUCGUGGUCUACUGUAGUAGUUGUGUGCAAUUUCUUCUAGAUGCUUAGCGUGAGCGACGGGAAUUGCCCCCGUUCUUCGUCGCCGCUCCUCUUCACACACUCGACGCCGAGUCUCCACAUUUGUCGCGAGACCAGUGAUGCUUGUGUGAAAAAAGGGUUUCCACUGACGGGGCAAUAAUAGAAAUUAUGGAAAAGGGAUGACUCUUUGGUUAGUGAGAGCACUCCUAAAAUAUCAAUAUGAGCGUGGUUCUACGUUUGGCGUGUAUAUCUUUUAUUCCCGUCCCCUCUGGUUUAAGAAUGUUAUCAACACUAUAUUUUCGUUGACAAAAAGGAUAAUAACAAAAUCCUUCAUUUUCAGACUGUUGCCUCGUCUGGCCGAUAGGAUUCUGGCAAAUCUACAAGUGACAGCGAUAUUAGAGUGAACCCACGUUUAAGAUAAUGCACCAACCAAAGAACACCGUCGAACACGUUUGAACAUUCAAGUUUGACUUCUAUUUCUUCUUUAUUCUGAUCUUCCAUUCCGUUUACGCUGAAGAACUCCCAAGUUAUUGCUAAUUAAUCAAAGUCAUGGAGCUUAUUUGUUCCUCUAUAAGCUACCAUGUGAGACGACGGACUAACCCUUUUCUUUUUCUUUUUCUUUUUCUUUUUAUUCCCAAUAAAUUCAUGUAACCAAUUUUUAUUUUAUUUUUCUUUUAAAAUUUGCAAUUUAAAAUUAAAAAAGUAAAGAGAAAAGAAAAUUUUUCUACGUCAAUGUCCGGCGGACAACCUUUGUCCACGUCAUUUGUGAUUUAUUUAUUAUUUUUCUUUGGAAAAUUAUCCAAAAAGACCUAAAUUUAUUACAUUUUUGUCAAUUUAAUUCUAAAACUUUUAAUUUUACCAAUUGAGUCCAUUCAGUCAAUUUUGGUCGGAAUUCAAUGACAUGGACAUCGAUUAUCCUACAUGGCAAUGUCAAUGCCCGGUGCUAAUGUGAACAAAAUUUAUUGCUUUUUAAAUAUUUUUUCAAAAAUUUAAAACAUUUUUAACUUUUUUAUCUCUCUUCUUCCUCCUCCAAUCACGCAACCUUUGACGACCGGCUAGAGGCUAUGACUAGUGAGAGUCGGCCUCGCCGGGAGCUAGCGAUGGGUGACCUCGCCAGCCUCUUGCAAGGUUGCCCUUGUCGAUAUUUGGCGAGGGACGACCUUGCAAGCCUUGGGCAAGGCUCGCCCUCACCGAAUCUGGCAAGGGUGAGCCUCACUUGCAGCCGACGAGGUCACCCUUCACCCUUGCAUGCCUUGGACAAGGCUUGCCCUCGACGAGCGAGGGUUGGCCUCACUAGUCGCGAAUAAGGCUCAACCUCGCCAGUUCUCGGCAUGCCAACUCUCACUGGUCAUAGCCUCUAGCCAGUCACCUAGCGACCGACCAACAGAGGAAGAAGAGAGAAGGGGAAAAAAAAGAAAAGAAUUUUUUAAAAAUAUUUAAAAUAAUAAAAAUAAUAACAAUUUUUGUUCACAUCAACGCUGGUCAUGCAACAUAGGAUGACCAACGUCCACAUCAGUGAAUUUCGGACAAAAUUGGCCGGAUGGAGUCAAUUGGUAAGAAGUAAAAAAAUUUGGGACUCAAUUAGUAAAAUUGAAAGGUUUUGGGCUUAUUGGCAAAAAUGUAAUAGGUUUAGAACUUUUUAGACAAUUUUUCCUAUUUUUCUUCCUCCACAGUCGACCACUAGUGAAAAAAAUAAAAGAAAAAAUUAAAAAGGAAAAAUAUAAAAAAAAUGGAAAAUUUAUUUAGAAAUUAUCCACCAAAAUGCCAAAGAAAACCAAGCCCCAAGCAACUAUAAAUAUGGCUUGCCUUUACAAGUAUUGAGGCACGAGUGUGAAAGAAAAAGCUAUAGCCACACAAGAGAGAGAGAGAGAGAGAGAGAUGGAGCUUGAAGUUGCUGCGAGUGUGGCUCUGGCAGUAUUGAUAGUUGCAUAUGGGUUCAUUUUUGGGGUUCUCAAGAGGGUGAAUGAGUGGAUAUACGUGAGCAGGUUGGGAGAGAAGAGAGCCUCUCUUCCACCUGGGGACAUGGGUUGGCCUUUGGUGGGCAAGAUGUGGUCCUUCCUGAGAGCCUUCAGAUCUGGUGAUCCUGACUCUUUCCUCUCUACCUUCAUCUCAAGGUCUUCUUCGUCACCUCUCUUCUUUUCUUUCUAUCACUAGCUUCUAUUUAGCAACAAAAGAAAAAAAAAAUCAUCAUAUCUUGUGUAAGUGAUCAACGACGUGUCAUGGACAUCCACUACCCUUUUCCUUUUAGAGUAUCCUGGCUUAUUUGAGUGACAUGAACAUCAUAACAAUGUUACUAGGUAUUAGUUUUCUAUUUUUUGCAAGCGGAUAAUGCACAGGUCCUUGUCGUGUGGUCCACGAUGUAAUCCUAAACCAUGAUUGAAAUAGAUAGAUAUACUUGAGACUGUACUUUUUCCAAGGGUUAAGGGGUGAUAUAUGCAGAUUGCAUUGAUUGAAAUUCCAAAACUAAUUUGGCUUGAUCCAUGGCAUAAUCAAUGAGAAAGAACAACAAUAUAUAAUCUGUGUGCUUAUUUUAUGACUUUUAGAUCAAUUGAAAGUGAUUCAAUAAAGUUAAAAAAUGUCAUUACUUAGAGAGAAAUGGAACAUUACAAUUUAUCUAUGCAUGGAACACAUUGGUCUAGUUAUGAUGGCAUGGCAGGCUUGAUUGAAAUUACUUCAAUGUAAGCCUUAGUGAAAAGUACUUGGUUGCCAUUCAUUUGAUUUUUGUAUUUUAUGCAGAUUCUUUAAAAUCAUCUGAUAGCAAUUAUCGCCUCAUGUCAUGCCGACUUUAAAUUGAGGUGCUUGAGCAUAUGUGUCCCACAAAAAUCACUUGCUUUAUACGUUGUUUUCAGCCAAAAAAAAAGUGAAAAAGUGAAUUUUGACAGGGAACUUUCCCUUUUGAAACGUAGGGAAAAAUUUUCCACGGUGGUUGUUUCCUUCUGACUGAAAACCUUUUCUUGGAUCAAGACCUUGAAUUUGCUUGGUCCAGGGGCCCAAAAGGCGAAAAACAAGAACCGGUCUAAAGUGUGGAAAGACAUGAUUGUCNNNNNNNNNNNNNNNNNNNNNNNNNNNNNNNNNNNNNNNNNNNNNNNNNNNNNNNNNNNNNNNNNNNNNNNNNNNNNNNNNNNNNNNNNNNNNNNNNNNNCCAAGUACAGAGGGUCCCAUCAGUAGCUGCAGUGCUGCUGAACUCAAGUUGAUGAACUUGGAGCUUGAUGCACUAUUAGAUUAUUGUUAAUCUUCUCUCGGGCGGAUGAAAGAUUUUUAUACACCUCCUAAAGAACUGAGUUAUAUGUUAUUGAUUAGGUAUUAAGAGUAGGACUCACUAGGCAAAAAUUUCUGUACACCUCCUUUAAUUCUUGACAAAGAUUACUUGUCACAUAUGUUUUAAUUUGGUGUGGACCUUAACACUAGGCAAUUGCUUAACACAUAACAUUCAAUCCUACUGGAAAAAUCAGGUUUGGAGCCACAGGUAUCUACAAAACCUACAUGUUUGGCAGUCCAAGCAUAAUCGUGUGCAAACCCGAGACAUGUAGGCGAGUAUUGACGGAUGACCAAAACUUCAAGCUCGGUUACCCUAAAGCGGUUAAGGUAUUAACUGGCCGGAGAUCAUUCCACAGCAUCUCCAACGCUGAGCACAAACGGCUCCGGCGGCUCACAGCAGCUCCCAUCACUGGCAGUGAGGCCCUGUCAAUGUACGUCCCCGGGAUUGAGGAGAACAUAGUGGCUUCCUUGGAAGAGUGGUCGAAUUCGGACCAGCCGGUUGAGUUCUUGACCGGGAUGAAGAAGGUCACGUUCAAGAUCAUUACGAACAUCUUCUUUGGCUUGGAUCAGGUUGAUUUCAACUUCAAGACCAUGGAGAUCUUGUACGGUGACUUGGCUCGUGGAAUGAAGUCCGCACCUAUCAACUUCCCCGGAUUCACUUUCCACAGAGGCGUCAAGGUGAAAAUUAUUGCAGUUUGACCACAAUUAAUUACUGUCUCCACAAAAGUGGCAGUUAUAUAAAUUAUAAAAACAUCUCAUCCACAAAACUAUUGCUUUUUUUACCACUAUUAGUUUUAUUUCUCUACCAAAUACUAGAUCUCUUGGUAAUUUUGCCAAAACACGGGAGAUUCAUCAGAGUGUUUCCUUGGCCUUGCAAACCGCAAUGAAAUCGAAAACGUUCUCAUUAAGCGAACUUGUCAUGUUAAUCAAUGUUAGGCGAGGAGAGAGCUGGUUAAGAUCCUCCAAGCUAUUGUGGAUGAGAGGAAGGCUUUGAAGGGAAGGAAUGGGUCGAUCACGAGGAAGAACAUGUUGGAUAUGCUAAUGGAGGUUGAAGAUGAGGAUAAGAGGAAACUGGAGGAGGAGGACAUAAUUGACAUAUUGCUCAUGUACUUGCUUGCUGGCCAUGAAACCUCAGCUCAUGGCACUAUGUGGGCUGCUCUUUACCUCCAUGAACAUCCUGAUAUCCUCCAAAAAGCAAAGGUAAGGUCAUGGUUCCAUCGCAGAAUUUGAUUAGCUAACCAAAGGGUGCCAAAGUUUUAUUUGGUCUUCUUCUUUCUCCAGGAAGAGCAAGAGGAGAUCAUCAGGAGGAGACCAGCUACACAGAGUGGAUUGACCCUCAAGGAAAUUAGGCAAUCACAGUAUCUUACAAGGGUAAGUGUCGCGUAUAAUGGGAGCCCACGACCUUUGACAUGCAAAGAUAUGUCCUACGAGCUUACGUAAUAACAGUCCCAAAAUUUCAAAAGUUGUAAGCGGAAAAUGAUCUGCAACAAGCAAGCCUGUUGACAAUUCAAGAGCAUUAACUUUUGUCAAUUGGUACUUAAUGUCAUAACUCCGCAAAUCCUCUCACCUUGGAUGAGAUACAUGACAUCCAAGACUAAUGUGCUUUUAUCUUAUAUACAGGUGGUUGAUGAAACAUUGCGUAGAAUCAGUCUCUCAUUUGCAGUUUUUUGAGAGGCAAAAGCUGAUGUGAACGUCAAUGGUUAGUAUAAAGGAACUUCGCUAAACAUGAAUUUUUUUUUUGGCUAACCAUUAUUCACGGUCUUAAUUCAUACCAAUUAUGUAUAUGUGGCGAAAAUGUAUGUAUACAUAACUAUCUACGUGAAAUGUAUGUAAAUGUGGCGUAUGGGACUAUUGGUCACAGGCUAUCUCAUACCAAAAGGUUGGAAAGUCAUGGUCAGUUCAAGGGCAGUACAUAUGGAUCCAGAAAAUUAUUUGGACCCAAAGAAAUUUGACCCAUCUAGAUGGGAAGUAAGUACUCCCUCCUUCCCUUCCCCACNNNNNNNNNNNNNNNNNNNNNNNNNNNNNNNNNNNNNNNNNNNNNNNNNNNNNNNNNNNNNNNNNNNNNNNNNNNNNNNNNNNNNNNNNNNNNNNNNNNNNNNNNNNNNNNNNNNNNNNNNNNNNNNNNNNNNNNNNNNNNNNNNNNNNNNNNNNNNNNNNNNNNNNNNNNNNNNNNNNNNNNNNNNNNNNNNNNNNNNNNNNNNNNNNNNNNNNNNNNNNNNNNNNNNNNNNNNNNNNNNNNNNNNNNNNNNNNNNNNNNNNNNNNNNNNNNNNNNNNNNNNNNNNNNNNNNNNNNNNNNNNNNNNNNNNNNNNNNNNNNNNNNNNNNNNNNNNNNNNNNNNNNNNNNNNNNNNNNNNNNNNNNNNNNNNNNNNNNNNNNNNNNNNNNNNNNNNNNNNNNNNNNNNNNNNNNNNNNNNNNNNNNNNNNNNNNNNNNNNNNNNNNNNNNNNNNNNNNNNNNNNNNNNNNNNNNNNNNNNNNNNNNNNNNNNNNNNNNNNNNNNNNNNNNNNNNNNNNNNNNNNNNNNNNNNNNNNNNNNNNNNNNNNNNNNNNNNNNNNNNNNNNNNNNNNNNNNNNNNNNNNNNNNNNNNNNNNNNNNNNNNNNNUUUUUUUACGAGGAAAAGGAGAAAUGUUAGAGAACAUAAUUAGUCUGUGCAAAUGGAAAUGUAAUAUUCGGUUUGCACGGACUAUACUUGUGAAAACCAACCAAAACAUGAGAUUUAUUUGAAUUAUAUACAAAUGUAGGCAUGGCAUUCUUUCAGAAUAAGUAAACAACUUAAACUUGGAUAACGUUAAAAUUCCAAUAAAAUUAUAAUAUCGUACUAAACUCACUAAAGGAAGUUCAACUAGCUAGGGUGAUUCUUUUCAUACGUCAAGAUGCUGCGAGACCUACAAUAAAUCACAAGUGUAAGAGCAUUCAUAAUAUUCUCACUAUUGAAUCCUGCAUGUGUGUAUAUGCAGGCUGGAGAGAGUAAAUCCGACGAGCUCAGUGUCACAUCUACCACUGCCACAUCCUUCGGACAAUUGCCUUGUCAGAUUCGAAAAAGCUCCAUUAGAUACCUAAACAAGUUCAAGGACAUCUCAGCAUUCAGCAUCCUUCUAUUCCCCGCAUCUGUCAGACAUUAAAUAAGCUGAUGAAUCGUUUCGUUGCCGUUUUCUAAUCGUGUACCUAGUUUUUCUAAAUGCUUUGUCCAUAAAUGUAGGCAACAUAUAAUGUCAUUUCCAUUUUUUUCUCAACUAUUAUAUAACUAUUAUAGUGUUAGGAAUUGCACAAUGAUUUCAGAAAAAUAAUACAAACAAACAAUCAACGCAAGUAACCCACCCAUGGGCAGCGGCAUUUGUCACGACCCGAACCACGGGCACAUGCACAUCCCUCAAUGGUCGAUUUAAAAUUUGCAACAUCCUAGGAACUGUUGCCGACCCAUUCAUUAUUUUUGCACAUGCGAAAACGUAAAACAAUCUCCAUACAACAAAAUAGUGGGAUAGAAAUGUAGGAUAUUAUUUUUCACAAGCCACACCUACAACAUCACAUUACUUAUAGACCAAUUUAACACCCCGAAGUCUAAUACAAAAAGUGAAGCUGUUCGAUUACCCACUAACUAAGCUUCUACCAACAAGACUGGGAUUUACUACUACCAUACUUCUCGAUCUUUCGGGAGUGAGCCGUCACCCUACAUCCAAUCUUGACGGAAAACCUGUCAUCACUUGGAAGGAGAUAGCAAGAGUCCUAUUCCUCAUUUAUUGUGACUGACUGUACACAACCUGGCCUUCCUCCAUUUAGG
rnacentral:lncRNA from 1 species